AGAGUUUGAUCCUGGCUCAGAAUCAACGCUGGCGGCGCGCUUAACACAUGCAAGUCGCACGAGAAAGGGGCAACCUGAGUAAAGUGGCGUACGGGUGAGUAACACGUGGAUCAUCUACCUCUUGGUGGGGAAUACCCCCGGGAAACUGGGGACAAUACCGCAUAAGUCCGUAAGGAGAAAGCAGCAAUGCGCCGAGAGAG
rnacentral:rRNA from 1 species